AACCAGGGGAUUAAGUUGUAUUUUACGGUUAAAAGAUAGUUAAGUAAUAUAAUACGGUUUAUAUUCAUUGUGUUAUCGGGGGGUAGAAUUCGAAGAUAAACAAAUAUACUAAGUAAAACCAGUGUACUGAAGCUAUGACAACUUUGAGGGAAACUAGGAUUAGAUACCCUAUUAUUCAUAGAAGUAAAUGGAAAACUUUUACCAGAGUACUAAGAAUAAAAAAUUUAAAACUCAAAGAGCUUGGCGGUGUUUUAGACUACUUAGGGGAACCUGUCUCAUAAUCGACAAUCCACGUUAAACCUCACCUUUUUUUGCAUUCAGUUUGUAUACCGUCGUCGUCAGGUAACUUUUAAGAUAUCAACAGUUAGCUAACUAAACAGUUAAGUUAAGACGUCAGAUCAAGGUGCAGCUAACAAUAAGGUGUAGAUGGGUUACAAUUACAAUAUUCGUAAUAACGGAGGACUAUUUUAAAAAGUAAUCAGGAAGGAGGACUUAAAAGUAAAAUAAACUACACAAAUGUUUUGAAUAAAGCUCUGAAACGUGC
rnacentral:rRNA from 1 species